UGCAGGUGCAGAAGUGAUAAGUGGUACGAAUACUAAGGAAGUACAUUUACUGGCUCCUUUAAUUCAGCAUGUUGGUAACUUUGACUCCCAGUUUUCCUCCACAUGAGCUCAUGACGGGUCGACCCUUUCCUGGACCACAGAACGGGCCAGACCACUGACCUCUGGCCAGACUGGGACUGACAGGUGACACAUUAAAAUGACCUACAAGACCUUUUUUUUUCCCCCUUAGUCAGAGACGGCUUUACAGAAGGACCAAGGUGCCUGGAGACCCUGAUGGGGAACCAUCUCAGCCAUCCUUCCAUCCUUCAGCAGGAGGAGGUGUGGCUCAAAGUCAUCAAAAGAAAGUGAUCAGAGCUCAUCUGAGCUCAUCUGGAAGGAACCAGGAAAAGCUUCAACAAAGCAAAUUAGAAUAAAGGGGCAGAAUAAUCCCCUCUGAUUGGUUAAUUAACACAUCAGUAGUCCACCUGAUGUGUUGAGGACCAGCUGCUCUGCAGACCACCCAUUGAACCUCGUUCAAAAUGUUGCCUGUAUAAGGGACCAACAUCAACAGAAAGAUGAAGACGCCCACCUGAAGAUGUCUGACAUCAGUUUUGGCUUUUUGAUUUUUCAAUUAUACAACAUGAAUGAGAAGGGAAAUGUGUUGUGAUGUGUUGUAUUUUAAUCAAAGAUUAACAUUUUUAGUAUCUAAGUGUUUGAUAUUACUUUUCUUGAUAAUAAAAAGAAAGUCCAUGUGUUAGAUGACCACCUGAUGGCUGAUGGUCAGUAUUGGCAGAGAUUUCUGGAUUAGAGAAUGAACUUUGAUGAUCGGGUCAUCUCAGCUACCAUUGGGAAAGAGGAGCGCUGAGAUUAAAUCCUCCAACUUUUCAAUGUGUGCUUUGACUGAGCCUGAUUCUGAAGAGCUGAACUCGUCAUCUGCGUGAAACAUCUUUGUGUUAUGAUUUUAACAUUUUGCAUAGAGAUUGAUCUUUUUUUACUUUUAAUGAAGCUUUGUAGAGAUGAAGGGGUCUAUUGUUUUGACUGAUUUGAACUUUUCUCUUUCCAGGGAAACAAAAAGGGUAACUGAUAAUGAUAAGAACUAAAAAUUAAAAUUUUCAGCAAAUAGAUAUUUUACCAUAAAAGUAUCAUCAUGGG